ACCGAGGUGGUGAAAUUGGUAUACACGCUACUUUGAGGUAGUAGUGCUUUUUUUUAAAAAAGCUUACGGGUUCAAAUCCCGUCCUCGGUA
rnacentral:tRNA from 1 species